GAUGAACGCUGACAGAAUGCUUAACACAUGCAAGUCUACUUGAACUUCGGUUUGGGUGGCGGACGGGUGAGUAACGCGUAAAGAACUUACCUCACAGUUAGGGACAACAUUUGGAAACGAAUGCUAAUACCUGAUAUUAUGAUUUUAGGGCAUCCUAAGAUUAUGAAAGCUAUAUGCGCUGUGAGAGAGCUUUGCGUCCCAUUAGCUAGUUGGAGAGGUAACGGCUCACCAAGGCGAUGAUGGGUAGCCGGCCUGAGAGGGUGAACGGCCACAAGGGGACUGAGACACGGCCCUUACUCCUACGGGAGGCAGCAGUGGGGAAUAUUGGACAAUGGACCAAAAGUCUGAUCCAGCAAUUCUGUGUGCACGAUGACGUUUUUCGGAAUGUAAAGUGAUUUCAGUUGGGAAGAAAAAAAUGACGGUACCAACAGAAGAAGUGACGGCUAAAUACGUG
rnacentral:rRNA from 1 species